CGCUUGGGAUACUCUUGUAAGGUAACUUUCUGCAAAACCUGAGUCCCAAGAUUUUUAAUUAUCAUCCAAAUUCCAAUGUAAAUGUCUAACAGAUUUUAUUUUCUGAUUCCACCUCUUUUGAUUUCAGAGCAUUCUGAAAAAAAGUGCAAAUGUGAGCUGGGGUGGAACACAAAACAUCCGCGCUCAUGCUUUGCAUCUGUGAGCUUCGGAACAAAGGGAAACACUCUAAACCAACAUCCUGGGUAUAAAUUUGCAAAACGCAAUACAGGCCUGAUUGUGUGUCGAGUGGAUGUGGGAUGCAUACGAAUAGACCAUGUGCCCCUUCCUCUCUCCUCCUCUGCCACAAAAUAGUACAACUCUUUCUCCCCUCCCCGGUGUUCUGAUGCAGCCAACAUAGUUACAUGUACACAUUCUGCAGCACGGGACUAUGUCGGGGAGAAUGUGAAUGCCUGGGAACAAGUGAAGUCUUGGCACUGUCAGCAGGUCAGCUUGAAGCCCUCUCAUAGCCCAGCCCUCAGGACCAGGUGUUCCCUGCAUUCAGAUGAUACGCUUAUUCAUAGACUGCCUCAACUGGAGUAUUAAAACAAGAAAUUUGCAAGUGAAUGCUGAUAUAAUCCUGGAAAUAUAUGUCUCCAUUAAAAAGUAUCCCAUUU